GCCCGACUAGCUCAGCUGGUUAGAGCGUCGUGCUAAUAUAGAUGCUGUUUCCUUCAUUACGCGAAGGUCUUGGGUUCGAUCCCCAAGUUGGCCA